CUACGUGCCAGCAGCCGCGGUAAUGCGUAGGUCCCGAGCGUUGUCCGGAUCUAUUGGGCGUAAAGCGAGCGCAGGCGGUUAGAUAAGUCUGAAGUUAAAGGCUGUGGCUUAACCAUAGUACGCUUUGGAAACUGUUUAACUUGAGUGCAAGAGGGGAGAGUGGAAUUCCAUGUGUAGCGGUGAAAUGCGUAGAUAUAUGGAGGAACACCGGUGGCGAAAGCGGCUCUCUGGUCUGUAACUGACGCUGAGGCUCGAAAGCGUGGGGAGCGAACAGGAUUAGAUACCCUGGUAGUCCACGCCGUAAACGAUGAGUGCUAGGUGUUGGAUCCUUUCCGGGAUUCAGUGCCGCAGCUAACGCAUUAAGCACUCCGCCUGGGGAGUACGACCGCAAGGUUGAAACUCAAAGGAAUUGACGGGGGCCCGCACAAGCGGUGGAGCAUGUGGUUUAAUUCGAAGCAACGCGAAGAACCUUACCAGGUCUUGACAUCCCGAUGCUAUUUCUAGAGAUAGAAAGUUACUUCG
rnacentral:rRNA from 1 species